AGGGUAUUCGUGUCUAUUUUAGUGAGAUUUUUGGAUAUAUUUGAAAGUUUUUAUAAAAAUUGACAUAUUUGAAAUUAAGGACUAACUUUUGCUAUUUAAGAUAAAUUCUCUUGUAAUUUUACCAAGUCUCGAUUAAAAACAAAUGAAAAAUGGUUGAUACAAACUAACAAUUCUCACAUGAAUUUGAAUUCGAUGGAUUUCUCCCAAUUUGAGAUUUGAGACUUGUUCUCUAAAACAUAUGGAAAACAAUUUUAUUCCAUUAUUAGUGGUUGAGGUUUAUCUCCCACAUUGAGCUUAGCAUGUAAUUAACGAUUGAGUCAUCUCCCAUUAGUUUGGGACGUAAGUGGUAUUCUGAUUAUUGCAAUGAAAAUCCUUAUGAACAACAAGUUUAUGAGGUAAUAUUUUUCCAAAUCAAUGUUACCUAAGGGAGCUUUGAUCUUUCUCCCGAGCCUGCAAACUUGUUCAUGUUUUACUCUAUUACUCAUUGCUCCAGAGUUAAAUUUCAGAAAGAUUUAUUGGAUUAAAAUAUUAUUCCAUGCUUAGGAAGCAAAUGAUGAAAAGUUUUAAACACUUUAUGACUUGAAUAAAGUUAUAAAUUCCAAUAAGACGUAUGGGUACAUGUUUAUUAUCAAAGUCCCAUGAAUAGGGCAAGAGGAGUACAAUUCUUUGGGGGAGACAAACCCUCACCCCUAGCAUGCAAAUUUUCCUAAGGAUGGUACUGGACUGACUUAACAAGGAUCAUCAACCAUGAUGAUGACCAAUAUGCCGUCAAGCGAAUCAGAAAGCUCUACUCAAAGAAGAACCAAAGGGCUCCAAGAAGAAGAACCCAAUAAAGAAUCUCAACACCCUCUUGAAAUUGAAUUUGUAUAUUAAGACUGCGAAAAGGAUGUUGCCAAUAGUAAAGAAAAGGAUGGUAGCUACGACACUCAUUAAGGGGAGCAAGGCUAGCCAUUAAAAGGUUAUGGAUGAUCUAUACUUCAUUUGAUUUUGCUUGGUAACAAUAUAUAUGGAUAUGGUAAGUUUCUUGACUACAAAUCCUAAUCACCGAAGGUUCAAAGUAGAAAUUGAGUUUGGGAACUGAAGCAUGAAAGGGAUAGAAAAGUUCCAUGGCGAAGUUGGAAACUCAGAGAUUUGAAAAGGCUAAGCCAAGGCUAGCUAUUUAAAGAGGCAGUACUAGAAACUGUUGAAUUCGAAGAGUCUUACAUAUAGAUUCGUGUGCCCAAAGGUUGAAGUUGCUCUGUGAUGCAAAUAACCAUCCUUUAUUAAAUGUGUACAAAAUAAAUGACAUCCCUCAUCAUUGCUGCAUGCUCUCUACAAUUCUCAAGGUCGCACAUCUGAAUCCAAAAUGUCCAAAGGUCUCAAGGUUCAAAGUCAAAACACCACGCGUCAAAAGAAUUAAAACGGUACGUAUUUUGCCUUACUCUGAAAGAAAUGGUCUUUGGAUAACUAUCCAUCCUCAAGGGGAACAGGUCCUUUUAGAUACAUAGUUAGGGGCAAUUGUGGGACUAUGAUUUUCUAUGGCCGGAGAGAGGCGGAUCGGAAUACACAUACCUUAGAAGUUUGGUCAUGAACUCAAUGGGCGAUGCUAAAUAAACAGAGCAGCGAUGCUACCAUCAUUAUGUUUGGAAUUAAUGGGCGAAGUUUGACGACUUCUCUGCAACCGAAUGCUUGUUCCAUUAGUGGAAAAUCCAGCAAGAAAUCAAUGGGUUUCCUAUAAUCUUGAAGUCCUUACAAUCUAAGGAUUGGUGUGCGCCACAAGUAAUCACACUCCUAAGAGGAUGCAAUAUCUACUUCCUAGAUAUCCUCUGAGAUUCUCCAGUUUAAUAAGGAUUAUACUGUCCUAAAAUGUCCUUUUCUUGAAUGGUAUAAAUACACUCUUGA
rnacentral:lncRNA from 1 species